rnacentral:rRNA from 1 species
GACGAACGCUGGCGGCGUGCUUAACACAUGCAAGUCGAACGGAAAGGCCCUGCUUUUGUGGGGUGCUCGAGUGGCGAACGGGUGAGUAACACGUGAGUAACCUGCCCUUGACUUUGGGAUAACUUCAGGAAACUGGGGCUAAUACCGGAUAGGAGCUCCUGCUGCAUGGUGGGGGUUGGAAAGUUUCGGCGGUCGGGGAUGGACUCGCGGCUUAUCAGCUUGUUGGUGGGGUAGUGGCUUACCAAGGCUUUGACGGGUAGCCGGCCUGAGAGGGUGACCGGCCACAUUGGGACUGAGAUACGGCCCAGACUCCUACGGGAGGCAGCAGUGGGGAAUAUUGCACAAUGGGCGGAAGCCUGAUGCAGCAACGCCGCGUGCGGGAUGACGGCCUUCGGGUUGUAAACCGCUUUCGCCUGUGACGAAGCGUGAGUGACGGUAGUGGGUAAAGAAGCACCGGCUAACUACGUG